CUCACCCCUCCUAUGCGUCUCCCUCCAGUAUUCUAAAAAAAAAAGCGUCUCCCUCCAGUCGAGCCCCACAUCCACAUCCAGAUGAGCCACGAGGCCGGCGGCGACGAGAUAGCCCUCCGCUGCCGCCACCCGCCGACGGCCGCGCCGCUGGACGACGAGGACCUCCUCGGGGAGAUCCUCCUCCGCGUCCCCCCGCUUCCCUCCUCGCUCCUCCGCGCCUCCCUCGUCUCCAAGCUACGCGGAGGCGUCGCCACCGCCCCCUCCUUCAGCCGCCGCUUCGUCGCCCACCACCGGAGGCCCCCCGUCCUCAGUUUCUUCGAGAAGGGCGACGGGGAGCUCGUCUUCACACCCAUCCUCGACCCCGCUGCUUCUGUGACGUCGCCUCCAAUAUUGCAAAGGCUCUCCGCUCCAAAUUUGUUUUGAGCAUUUUCUUCAAUGUGCCAAAAUCAAUUGCUUGGUGAAGUUCCAGUUUAUGUUUACUAUCCAAUAGUAAUUUCUAAGAGGAUACAUCUCAAGCAGUUGGGGUUGCAGGUCAUUGUUAGGAAUACAUCUGGCUUACCAUAUUUUCUAACUAAAGCCAUAGCGUCGAGAUAUCGACGAAGUUUAUCUCGUGGUCCUCCAAUAAAUGACGAGGCAAGUACUCUCCGUUUUCCAACCGCAUCUCCAUUCUGUUCUCCAGCUUGAAUGCUGUCUAGAAGGCCUUGGUAUAGGUCAGCCCUUAUUUUCUUUUGAUUAUGCCAGAUGUAAUCCAGUCUGGAGCUUUCAAUCUUGAUGUAUGUAUGUACAGCAAACUGCUGGAAAAGGCGUCCGCUAUGCAAAAUUGGGUUGAAUAUGCCUGGUCGUGUAUGGAAUUUAUAGCAGUAGUAUUCUUUCAUCGUUACCCAUAGGCCAUUGGCCGAAUCUGUGCAAAUAUUGCAACAUAAAAAGUUAGUUGCAUAGGUGGUAGUAUAUGAAAAUUGAAUUUUUAUCUAAUAGUAUUUGAAUUUUUUUACCUGGGUCAUCGUCAUUACUGAUAUUUUCAGCACCAAUAUCUUCCUCUCGUGUUUCCCUCUUCGGGAUUUUCCUAUGCCAACCCAGUUCAGCUCUUGGAAAGAAUAGAGGAUACGAUAACGGAUCACAGCACCCGUAAUAUGAUCGAAUGUGCUCUUUUUCGUUGUUGUUCCCAUGUAAUAUUACAUUUCUGUCAUAAGUAUCUCUUCUUUCAUUUCCUUCAAUCCACACUGCAGCUACCUCCGAAUUGAUUGGCUCGUUGUAUGUUCUUUGGUCCAAUCUCUGGUCAAGGUUCAAGAUCAGUCUGUAGUCCUCAAGGUUUUGGGCUUGUCCCAAACUCCUAAACUGUUGAGAGUACGGGUUACCGCGUAGGAUAUCUGUUAUUAUUGCAAUCACAUGCUUGUCUUGCUCGUACAUUUCCUCACGGCAACGACGGUAUCGAUGCUCUAAGCUUGGAUCAUCGUCGUAGAAAUAUAGUUCCAGAUGCUUUGGAUCUGAGUGACUAUUACCAAAUGAGUGUAUGUUGUGAUAUAUUUGACCAUGUGCUCGAAAGGUGUAAGUACCGGCCGUUCGCAUGUCUGUUGUGUCUCUGUGGAGCUGGUAGUAUAGUGUAGUAAACGAGAAAUGCCCAUUGAAAAAUCUUAUAUUUUGCCGAAAAUGUCUUGCAUCAGAGUCGUUGCUUGUCCAAAGCCUCAUUAGUUCCGGUGGUGUAUUUGGAUUGGCUAGUCUUAUCUGUCCUUUUUUGCAGCAUAAUCCCUGACUUUCAUACUUGAAUUUGGUUGCAUGGCAGAAACAACAAUCUUCUUCUUUUUCGAGCACGUUUGUGCUUGUUGGUAUGUUGCCGUAGACAAGAUCAUAUGGAUCAGGGUUGAGGUCUUCCUCGCCUUCUAUGAUUUCAAUUUCCACUUCUCUGCCCCACUCUGAUUUAAUAUACAGCAUAUUAAAUUUAGUAAGUAGUAUUGUAAUGUUGCAAAUUUAUUUUAAUUGUAUUAAGCAUACCUUCACCGGUGAACAUGUAUUCAUCUUCGUCUGUGUCUUCUUCAAAUAUUACUCCAUCAUUACCUGUGUUGUAAAAUUUUAUAUAUAUAUAGACGAAGAUGAAUACAUGUUCACCGGUGAAGGUAUGCUUAAUACAGUUUGAAUUGCCAAAGAACAUAUAUGAAAUUGAUAACCUUACCUUGAUCCUCGUUGCACAUUGAUUUUGCUGCCGCAUCUAUUUCUUUAAUGGUUUCUUCUUGCUCAUAUAUGAUUCCAUCAUUGCAUAGUGAUUGUAUUCGUGCAUGCACUUCUUUGAUUGUUGGAAGCAUUGUGCAGGGGAUGUCCUUCCACAUAGUUACUUUACUGUGAUCAUCAUUGUAUAAUGAUUGUGUCGGUGUAUCUGUUUCUCUGAUGCUUGGAAACAUUGAGGAGGGGAUGUCUGUCCAAAAUAGAUGGUUUCCGUCAUGGAUUCAUCUUCUUUUGAUGAUACGGCAAUAGCUUGCUUACGUCUUCUUGUGAAUUCUUCGGUUACGACGGUGUAGCAACGCUUGCCUUUCUCCCGCUGCCACAUGAUCCCUGUGUUUUACAGUAAAUGUAGAAGUGCUCUCCUCCUGUUCAGUUGCGAGAUAUUCAGGGUUCUCCAUUGCUAUUGAAUCUUUGGAUGGUGUGUUGCGUUUCAAUUGAGGGUGAGCUUCAAUUUGUUCCAUUCUUGCUUUCUUCUUUUCUGUUUGCAUAUUUGCAUAUCUUUUUUUUUCUUGUGCACAUUUUGCCGCCUUCUGUUCUGGUGUCUUUCCUGAUACUUUGUUUCGUUGAUAGGCUUCACGGCGUUUUUUGAGUUUCUCAUGCCUUUCUUCAUCGGUCAUGCGUUCAUACCGCUCUCUGUCCCUCUUUCUUCUUUUUUCCUUAGCAUCCAUUAUUUGUGAUUAUGGUCCAAAUGUUUUCCUGCAGGAUGGAAAGAAAUUUUUUUAAUGCAAUACAAGAUAAUUUGUUGCUAGACUGGCCUGGAAUGUGAAGUCAAUAUGUAUCGGAUGAGCAUCCUGGCAUGUGAGAUGCAUGAAACAUGGUAUUUUUUUACUGGACAUCAAACAUAGGACUGAUGAGUAUCAAAUACCAUGUGUGAGAUUCAAGAAUUCAUUGGGAAGAACGAAAACUGGAGACAAGGAACAUACUUGACGGCUCCUUUGUUUUGGUUGGCGCUGUGGCUUGGAGAUUGCUUGGCGUGUACUAAGCUGGUGGCACUUUUUUCUCUGGGCGUUCAAUCUCUGAGAGCUGGGUAUUUAUAUUAGUAUAGAACCUUUGCCAGUCCGAGUUGGUGUAUGGUUCCCGAUUGGUUCCAUGUCCGAGUCCAAGUUGGUGUAUGUUUUCCAUGUCCGAGUCUAAGUUGGUGUAUGCUUCUGAUUGUAUUUUUCUCUUCCACGUCCAAUCCAGUAGCUUGUGGUAUGUUUUGAGAUUUGUUAUAAAUUUACCUUUUUCUGUC